GGGAAGAUCCCCUGCAGGCGGGUCUGGCAACCCACUCCAGUAUUCUUGCCUGGAGAAUCCCAUGGACAGAGGAGUCUGGCGGGCUACAGUCCAGGGGGUCAGGAAGAGUUGAACACAACUAAAACGACUUAGCAUGCAUGAGUUAAGAUGUCACAGGUGGGACCCAGAGAGGGGAAGUGACUUUUUCAAGGCCACACAGCAAGUUAGUGACACAUCCCCAACAGCCAGGUGAGCUGCUUGCUUCCCUCGGGUCCCAGACAAGGAGUCCAGAAGCCUGGCUUUUAGUCCUGAUUAGCUGUGAGGGUUCCAGAAAGAAGGUUUUAGGAGUCUCAGUUUCCCCAUCUGUAAAACCAGCCUAAGAAGAAGGCCAUCGGUCUCGAAGGAGCUGGAAAGGCUCUCUGAGGCGUGGACUACAAGGUGGGGUGGUGGAGGGUAGAGAAAGCCUCCCAGGAGUCCUGCAAAGCUGGGCCCAGCGCCGGUGAAGGCCAAGUCCCCAGCUCACCGCCCUGAGGUCUCCAGCACUCAGUCGCUGAGCUCAGCUCCAAGCCGCGGGCUGCAGCGCCCCCCACUGACCAGUGGGCAGCAGGCACCGUGGCCGAGGCACCAUCAGUCCCAGGUCCGCCUGACUGGGCAGCUACAGAGCCGGAUCCCCUUCCGCUCAGGGAAACUGUAGGUGCCUGGCUCUCCGGAUCUGCCCACCUUCCACCCACAGCUUCCCAGCAGCCUGGUCCGAGGAAAGACCACCCCCAGCAGCACCACCACGCUUGAACAGGGCCACAAAGAGCGAGGCCAGCCGUCUGCCGUCGAGGGCACCUGGGGAGCACCAGUCUAGGCUGGGCUCCCCGCCCGGCUCCUCACUGGGCUCCUGCUGCGUGCUGGGACCGGGCAGAGAAGACAGAGGUGAACUCUGUCCUCGGAGGCUCUAGGCUAGCAGGGGAGGCGGACAGGCAGUGCAAAUGCCACAUGAGCUGAGGCCCCCGCCGCCCCGUUGGACACUUUUGAGAAAAGUUACCACGUUGCUGGACCCAGCCAAGGAUGAGCUGACCAGAAGGAGCACAGCACUGCAGACAGAAGAGCACCGGCAGGGGCCUUGUGGGGCGAGGUCCACUGGGAUCCAAAAGUGGCUGAGGCUCCACCCCUCCUGUGCGUCGUUCAGGCUGCAGAGUGGACGUCACCUCUUCCAGGUGCACCGCUGACCACUCGCGUCUCCAGACUCUCACUCUCUGUUUCAUCACCGCUUUGUUUUUGCCAAGCUCAAGCUCGCACUGCAACCUCAGCUGCCGCUUCGCAUGUCACUGAUGUAU
ensembl:lncRNA